rnacentral:rRNA from 1 species
UACGUAGGGGCCUAGCGUUGUCCGGAUUUAUUGGGCGUAAAGAGCUCGUAGGCGGUUCGGCAAGUCAGGUGUGAAAUCUCCGCGCUCAACGCGGAGGAGCCACCUGAUACUGCCGUGACUUGAGUCCGGUAGGGGAGUGCGGAAUUCCUGGUGUAGCGGUGAAAUGCGCAGAUAUCAGGAGGAACACCGGUGGCGAAGGCGGGACUCUGGGCCGAUACUGACGCUGAGGAGCGAAAGCGUGGGGAGCGAACAGG